rnacentral:rRNA from 1 species
ACUACGGGUGGCUGCAGUGGGGAAUAUUGGGCAAUUGGCGCAAGCCUGACCCAGCAACGCCGCGUGAAGGAAGAAGGCUUUCGGGUUGUAAACUUCUUUGCUUGGGGACGAAGAAAGUGACGGUACCCAAGGAAUAAGCCACGGCUAACUACGUGCCAGCAGCCGCGGUAAUACGUAGGUGGCAAGCGUUAUCCGGAUGUAUUGGGUGGAAAGGGCGUGUAGGCGGGAUUGCAAGCAAGUUGUGAAAAGCACGGGCUCAACCUGUGGCCUGCAUUUGAAACUGUAGUUCUUGAGUGCUGGAGAGGCAAUCGGAAUUCCGUGUGUAGCGGUGAAAUGCGUAGAUAGACGGAGGAACACCAGUGGCGAAGGCGGAUUGCUGGACAGUAACUGACGCUGAGGCGCGAAAGCGUGGGGAGCAAACAGGAUUAGAUACCCCAGUAGUC